UGGGGAAUUUUGGACAAUGGGGGCAACCCUGAUCCAGCAAUGCCGCGUGUGUGAAGAAGGCCUUCGGGUUGUAAAGCACUUUUGUCCGGAAAGAAAACGCCGUGGUUAAUACCCGUGGCGGAUGACGGUACCGGAAGAAUAAGCACCGGCUAACUACGUGCCAGCAGCCGCGGUAAUACGUAGGGUGCAAGCGUUAAUCGGAAUUACUGGGCGUAAAGCGUGCGCAGGCGGUCCGCUAAGACAGAUGUGAAAUCCCCGGGCUUAACCUGGGAACUGCAUUUGUGACUGGCGGGCUAGAGUAUGGCAGAGGGGGGUAGAAUUCCACGUGUAGCAGUGAAAUGCGUAGAGAUGUGGAGGAAUACCGAUGGCGAAGGCAGCCCCCUGGGCCAAUACUGACGCUCAUGCACGAAAGCGUGGGGAGCAAACAGGAUUAGAUACCCUGGUAGUCCACGCCCUAAACGAUGUCAACUAGUUGUCGGGUCUUCAUUGACUUGGUAACGUAGCUAACGCGUGAAGUUGACCGCCUGGGGAGUACGGUCGCAAGAUU
rnacentral:rRNA from 1 species